rnacentral:rRNA from 1 species
GAUGAACGCUGGCGGCGCGCCUAACACAUGCAAGUCGAACGGCACCCCUCUCCGGAGGGAAGCGAGUGGCGAACGGCUGAGUAACACGUGGAGAACCUGCCCCCUCCCCCGGGAUAGCCGCCCGAAAGGACGGGUAAUACCGGAUACCCCGGGGUGCCGCAUGGCACCCCGGCUAAAGCCCCGACGGGAGGGGAUGGCUCCGCGGCCCAUCAGGUAGACGGCGGGGUGACGGCCCACCGUGCCGACGACGGGUAGCCGGGUUGAGAGACCGACCGGCCAGAUUGGGACUGAGACACGGCCCAGACUCCUACGGGAGGCAGCAGUGGGGAAUCUUGCGCAAUGGGGGGAACCCUGACGCAGCGACGCCGCGUGCGGGACGGAGGCCUUCGGGUCGUAAACCGCUUUCAGCAGGGAAGAGUCAAGACUGUACC